CGUAGGGUGCGAGCGUUGUCCGGAAUUAUUGGGCGUAAAGAGCUCGUAGGCGGUGUGUCGCGUCGGCCGUGAAAACCUGCAGCUCAACUGUGGGCUUGCGGUCGAUACGGGCAUCACUGGAGUUCGGCAGGGGAGACUGGAAUUCCUGGUGUAGCGGUGAAAUGCGCAGAUAUCAGGAGGAACACCGGUGGCGAAGGCGGGUCUCUGGGCCGAUACUGACGCUGAGGAGCGAAAGCGUGGGGAGCGAACAGGAUUAGAUACCCUGGUAGUCCACGCCGUAAACGUUGGGCGCUAGGUGUGGGGGCCAUUCCACGGUCUCUGUGCCGCAGCUAACGCAUUAAGCGCCCCGCCUGGGGAGUACGGCCGCAAGGCUA
rnacentral:rRNA from 1 species